rnacentral:rRNA from 1 species
CGGGCAGUGCGGGAGCUAUACAUGCAGUCGAGCGGACCGAACGGAAGCUUGCUUCUGUUCGGUUAGCGGCGGACGGGUGAGUAACACGUGGGUAACCUGCCCGUAAGACCGGGAUACUCCGCGAAAGAGGUAAUACCCGUAAACCGAGACCCCAGGUCUUCGAUAGAAGGUACUUUGUCCACUUACCGAUGCCGCGCCCAUAGCUAGUCGGUGAGGUAACGCCUCACCAAGGACGAUGGUAGCGCCUGAAGGUGACCGGCCACAUGGGACUGAGACACGGCCCAGACUCUACGGGAGCAGCAGUAGGGAAUCUCCGCAUGACGAAAGUCGACGAAGCGACGCCGCUGAGCGAAGAAGUCUCGAUCGUAAGCUCUGUUGUUAGGGAGAAGAAGUACCGUUCGAAUAGGCGGUACGGUGACGGUACCUAACGAGAAAGCCCCGGCUAACUACGUGCCAGCAGCCGCGGUAAUACGUAGGGGGCGAGCGUUGUCCGGAAUUAUUGGGCGUAAAGCGCGCGCAGGCGGUCCCUUAAGUCUGAUGUGAAAGCCCACGGCUCAACCGUGGAGGGUCAUUGGAAACUGGGGGACUUGAGUGCAGAAGAGGAGAGCGGAAUUCCACGUGUAGCGGUGAAAUGCGUAGAGAUGGGGAGGAACACCAGUGGGAAGGCGGCUCUCUGGUCUGUAACUGACGCUGAGGCGGAAAGCGUGGGGAGCAAACAGGAUUAGAUACCCUGGUAGUCCACCCCGUAAACGAUGAGUGCUAAGUGUUAGAGGGGUUAAACCCUUUAGUGCUGUAGCUAACGCGUUAAGCACUCCGCCUGGGGAGUACGGCCGCAAGGCUGAACUCAAAGGAAUUGACGGGGGCCCGCCAAGCGUGGAGCAUGUGUUUAAUUCGAAGCAACGCGAGACCUUACCAGUCUUGACAUCCCCUGACACCGGAGACAGGCGUCCCCUCGGGGGACAGUGACAGUGGUGCAUGGUUCGUCAGCUCGUUCUGAAUGUGGUAAGUCCGCACGACCAACCUCGCCUAAUGCAGCAUCGUUGCAUUAGGGACUGCCGCUAAGUCGAGAAUGGGAUGACCAAUCCAUGCCUUAGACUGCUAACAGUCUCAAUGCCGUACAAAGGGCUGCGAACCCGCGAGGGGGAGCGAAUCCCAAAAAGCCGCUCUCAGUUCGGAUUGCAGGCUGCAACUCGCCUGCAUGAAGCCGGAAUCGCUAGUAAUCGCGGAUACAGCUGCCGACGGAAUGCC